UCAAGUUAUUAAGGGUGCAGGGCGGAUGCCUUGGCACUAGGAGCCGAUGAAGGACGUGAUAAGCUGCGAUAAGCUUCGGGGAGUUGCACGUAAACUUUGAUCCGAAGAUUUCCGAAUGAGGAAACUCACUUAGAGUAAUGUCUAAGUAUCAUUAAGUGAAUACAUAGCUUAAUGAGGGGAACUCAGGGAACUGAAACAUCUAAGUACCUGAAGGAAGAGAAAGAAAUUCGAUUCCGUAAGUAGCGGCGAGCGAACGCGGAUUAGCCCAAACCAAUAAAGUUUUCUUUAUUGGGGUUGCGGACAUAUCAUAACGAAGAGGUAUCGUAAUUGAAGAGGUUUGGAAAGACCCACCACAGAAGGUAAUAGUCCUGUAUGUUAAACGAGAAGACUUCAGAUAUGAUCCAGAGUACCACGGGACACGUGAAACCCUGUGGGAAGCAGGAGGGACCACCCUCCAAGGCUAAAUACUACCUAGUGACCGAUAGCGUAUAGUACCGUGAGGGAAAGGUGAAAAGAACCCCGGGAGGGGAGUGAAAUAGAACCUGAAACCCUGCACUUACAAGCUGUGGAAGCACAUUUCUUGUGUGACCGCGUACUUUUUGUAGAACGGGCCAACGAGUUACGUUAAGUAGCAAGGUUAAGCACUUAAGGUGUGGAGCCGUAGCGAAAGCGAGUUUUAACUGAGCGUUCAGUUACUUGACGUAGACCCGAAACCGGGCGACCUACCCAUGAGCAGGAUGAAGCGAAAGUAAAAUUUCGUGGAGGUCCGAACCCACGAGCGUUGAAAAGCUCGGGGAUGACUUGUGGGUAGCGGUGAAAUUCCAAUCGAGCCCGGAGAUAGCUGGUUCUCCCCGAAAUAGCUUUAGGGCUAGCCUCAAGGUGAGAGAUACGGAGGUAGAGCACUGAAUGUCCUAGGGGGUAUUGCACCUACCGAAGACUAUCAAACUCCGAAUGCCGUCAUCUUAUACUUGGGAGUCAGACUGUGGGUGAUAAGAUUCAUAGUCGAAAGGGCAACAGCCCAGAUCGUCAGCUAAGGUCCCUAAAUGUAAGUUAAGUGGUAAAGGAUGUGGGAUUGCACAGACAACCAGGAUGUUGGCUUAGAAGCAGCCACUCAUUCAAAGAGUGCGUAAUAGCUCACUGGUCGAGUGAUCCUGCGCCGAAGAUUUCCGGGGCUAAAACUUACUACCGAAGCUACGGCAUCAGUAAUGAUGGGUAGUGGAGCUUCCCAUACGGGUUGAAGCAUGACCGUAAGGACAUGUGGACAGUAUGGGAGUGAGAAUGUUGGCAUGAGAGCGAGAUGUGGGUGAGAAUCCCACAGGCCGUAAACCCAAGGUUUCCAGGGGAAGGUUCGUCCGCCCUGGGUUAGUCGGGACCUAAGCUGAGGCCGAAAGGCGUAGGUGAUGGACAACAGGUUGAUAUUCCUGUACUACCGAUAACCGUUUGAGAGAAGGGAUGACACAGUAGGAUAAGCUAAGCACACUGUUGGUUAUGUGUGCCCAAGCAUUGAGGCAGUCAAAGUAGGCAAAUCCGCUUUGAUAAUGCUGGGAUGUGAUGGGGAGCGAAAUUUAGUAGCGAAGUAGCUGAUUUCACACUGUCAAGAAAAGUCUCUAUCGAGGUUAAAGGUACCCGUACCGCAAACCGACACAGGUGGGUGAGGAGAGUAUCCUAAGGCCAGCGAGAGAACUGUUGUUAAGGAACUCGGCAAAAUGACCCCGUAACUUAGGGAUAAGGGGUGCCGCCAUGAGGUGGCCGCAGAGAAUAGGCCCAAGCGACUGUUUACCAAAAACAUAGGUUUCUGCUAAGUCGCAAGACGAUGUAUAGGAGCUGACGCCUGCCCGGUGCUGGAAGGUUAAGGGGAUCUGUUAGAGCAAUCGAAGCAGUGAACUUAAGCCCCAGUAAACGGCGGCCGUAACUAUAACGGUCCUAAGGUAGCGAAAUUCCUUGUCGGGUAAGUUCCGACCCGCACGAAAGGCGUAACGAUUUGGGCACUGUCUCAACAACAGACUCGGUGAAAUUGUAAUUCCGGUGAAGAUGCCGGAUACCUGCGACAGGACGGAAAGACCCCAUGGAGCUUUACUGUAGCUUGACAUUGGGUCUUGGUACUACAUGUACAGGAUAGGUGGGAGGCUUUGAAACCAGGACGCCAGUUUUGGCGGAGCCAUCCUUGGGAUACCACCCUUGUAGUACUGGGACUCUAACCAUAGGCCAUGAAUCUGGUCUUGGGACACUGUCAGGUGGGCAGUUUGACUGGGGCGGUCGCCUCCCAAAAGGUAACGGAGGCGCUCAAAGGUUCUCUCAGUACGGUCGGAAAUCGUACGUAGAGUGUAAAGGCAAAAGAGAGCUUGAUUGCAAGACAUACAGGUCGAGCAAGGAUGAAAAUCGGACUUAGUGAUCCGGUGGUUCUGCGUGGAAGGGCCAUCGCUCAACGGAUAAAAGCUACCCUGGGGAUAACAGGCUUAUCUCCCCCAAGAGUCCACAUCGACGGGGAGGUUUGGCACCUCGAUGUCGGCUCAUCACAUCCUGGGGCUGUAGUAGGUCCCAAGGGUUGGGCUGUUCGCCCAUUAAAGUGGUACGCGAGCUGGGUUCAGAACGUCGUGAGACAGUUCGGUCCCUAUCCGUCGCAGGCGUAGGAAAUUUGAGAAGACCUGUCCUUAGUACGAGAGGACCGGGAUGGACGUACCUCUGGUGUACCAGUUGUUCUGCCAAGGGCAUGGCUGGGUAGCUAUGUACGGAAUGGAUAAGCGCUGAAAGCAUCUAAGCGCGAAGCCAACUUCAAGAUAAGAUUUCCCACCGCAAGGGUAAGACCCCAGAAAGACUAUCUGGUUGAUAGGUCGAAGGUGUAAGUGCAGCAAUGUAUUUAGCUUAUCGAUACUAAUAGGUCGAGGACUUGACCAA
rnacentral:rRNA from 1 species